AUGGUUACGAACUGGGUUUUGUGCUCCGAUGGGGUGUUUAAGAAUGCUGUUGAUCCACAAGACAGCAAGAUUCUUCAGUGUUGUUGGCCCCUAUCUCACCCUUGGCCUGCCCUCACCUCAUCUCUCACCCCUCCAAAUCAAGGCAUGUCUGUGAGUACUUAGUAGAGUUUAUGAAAAUGUAUUUCUUUAUUUUCACCCACAAUCCAUCAUUCUGUUAAGAGCAUUGAU
rnacentral:lncRNA from 1 species